rnacentral:rRNA from 1 species
GGGCUCGCAGGCGGUUUCUUAAGUCUGAUGUGAAAGCCCCCGGCUCAACCGGGGAGGGUCAUUGGAAACUGGGAAACUUGAGUGCAGAAGAGGAGAGUGGAAUUCCACGUGUAGCGGUGAAAUGCGUAGAGAUGUGGAGGAACACCAGUGGCGAAGGCGACUCUCUGGUCUGUAACUGACGCUGAGGAGCGAAAGCGUGGGGAGCGAACAGGAUUAGAUACCCUGGUAGUCCACGCCGUAAACGAUGAGUGCUAAGUGUUAGGGGGUUUCCGCCCCUUAGUGCUGCAGCUAACGCAUUAAGCACUCCGCCUGGGGAGUACGGUCGCAAGACUGAAACUCAAAGGAAUUGACGGGGGCCCGCACAAGCGGUGGAGCAUGUGGUUUAAUUCGAAGCAACGCGAAGAACCUUACCAGGUCUUGACAUCCUCUGACAACCCUAGAGAUAGGGCUUUCCCUUCGGGGACAGAGUGACAGGUGGUGCAUGGUUGUCGUCAGCUCGUGUCGUGAGAUGUUGGGUUAAGUCCCGCAACGAGCGCAACCCUUGAUCUUAGUUGCCAGCAUUCAGUUGGGCACUCUAAGGUGACUGCCGGUGACAAACCGGAGGAAGGUGGGGAUGACGUCAAAUCAUCAUGCCUCUUAUGACCUGG